rnacentral:rRNA from 1 species
AGCGAACGCUGGCGGCAGGCCUAACACAUGCAAGUCGAACGAACUCUUCGGAGUUAGUGGCGGACGGGUGAGUAACACGUGGGAACGUGCCUUUAGGUUCGGAAUAACUCAGGGAAACUUGUGCUAAUACCGAAUGUGCCCUUCGGGGGAAAGAUUUAUCGCCUUUAGAGCGGCCCGCGUCUGAUUAGCUAGUUGGUGAGGUAAAGGCUCACCAAGGCGACGAUCAGUAGCUGGUCUGAGAGGAUGAUCAGCCACAUUGGGACUGAGACACGGCCCAAACUCCUACGGGAGGCAGCAGUGGGGAAUCUUGCACAAUGGGCGAAAGCCUGACGCAGCCAUGCCGCGUGAAUGAUGAAGGUCUUAGGAUUGUAAAAUUCUUUCACCGGGGACGAUAAUGACGGUACCCGGAGAAGAAGCCCCGGCUAACUUCGUG